rnacentral:rRNA from 1 species
UGGGGAAUAUUGGACAAUGGGCGCAAGCCUGAUCCAGCCAUGCCGCGUGUGUGAAGAAGGCCUUUUGGUUGUAAAGCACUUUACGCGAGGAGGAGGCUACUUGGAUUAAUACUCUAGGAAAGUGGACGUUACUCGCAGAAUAAGCACCGGCUAACUCUGUGCCAGCAGCCGCGGUAAUACAGAGGGUGCGAGCGUUAAUCGGAUUUACUGGGCGUAAAGCGUGCGUAGGCGGCUUUUUAAGUCGGAUGCGAAAUCCCUGAGCUUAACUUAGGAAUUGCAUUCGAUACUGGGAAGCUAGAGUAUGGGAGAGGAUGGUAGAAUGCCAGGUGUAGCGGUGAAAUGCGUAGAGAUCUGGAGGAAUACCGAUGACGAAGGCAGCCAUCUGGCCUAAUACUGACGCUGAGGUACGAAGGCAUGGGGGGCAAACAGG